AGUGAACGCUGGCGGCGGGCCUAAUACAUGCAAGUCGAACGGAAGUUUAGGAAGUGGUUGCCCAAAGGGAUGGCGAGUGGGGGAAGGGAGAGGUGGGUAACGGACCUUACUGACUGGUGGAGGAUAAGGAAGGGGGAGUUAAGCUAGGAUAGCAUACGAGCUAAGGGUGAAAGCAGGGAAAAUUUGGACUUUAGGUGACUCUAUGAGAUGGUGGCGGAGUAGCUAGUUGGCGGGGUAAAGGCACAACAAGGCGAAGAUGCGUAGCUGACCUGAGAGGAUGGUCGGCCCACAUGGGAAUGGGACACGGCCCAGACUCCUACGGGAGGCAGCAGUAGGGAAUCUUCCGCAAUGGACGAAAGUCUGACGGCGCACCGCCGCGUGAGCGAAGAAGGCCUUCGGGUCGUAAAGCUCUGUUGUUAGGGAAGAACAAGCAUCGUUCGAAUAGGGCGGUACCUUGACGGUACCUAACCAGAAAGCCACGGCUAACUACGUG
rnacentral:rRNA from 1 species